AGACAGGAUGACAAACCUCCCGCACAUCCAGCGAAUCCCGAAACUCCUGAUCCGAGUUUGGUUUCUCCAAGGGAGCCAAUCAGCGCGCGGAAGAGGGAGCGGGGCGAUGGUUUUAGUACCCGGCGUAUGCCGGUGGGGUUUAAGAUUCCUUCCAUACAUGUGCAUUAGCGGCUCUCCACCGCUGGGAGGCGACAAAUACGUUCAAAAUCAGUGAUUUUAGGUCACCAUGAAUUACUUACCCACUUAUACAUUCUAAUACACGUGUCAAAGUCAAGGCCCGGGGGCCAGAUCCGGCCCUUCAGCUGCAGAGGCGGGAGGAGUCUCUCUGCCGGGGCAUGGAGGCUCCACGCCGCUGUGCAUUCCUGCUGCUGAGGGCUGGAUGAGCGGGUGGAGAUGGUAAAUGGGUGCUCUCCCUCUGCCGCCUCCCAGGGGACCACGAGCAGCUCUGAGCAGUCGGGCCGCGGUGCUGUUUGCUCUGAGAGGACAGCGUGUUUGGCACAGAUUUGCUGCAGUCCUAGAAGUUACUUUAUUCACAGUUUGGAACCAGUUUUAAGGUGUUUAAUAAUGAUAAAAUACAAAGCACAUGGUGAAUAUCUGAACAGUUUGUGAAUGCUGGAGCUCCUAACAGAAGAAGAGUCGGAUCAGCUCCUGCAGACAGACAGGAUCGGGGAGCAGCUGUUGUUGGACGUGGUGACUCUGGAUUCAGUCCUGAAGAAUCUGCAGAUGAGUGAAGCUGGUCGUGAAUUCAGAAAGAAGCUGAGAGACGGUUUCUUCAGUGGAUAAGAUGGAGGCUGACAGAAUUAAAGUUUAGUUUGAAUGGA